rnacentral:lncRNA from 1 species
CAUUUAUUUAUAGAAAGACCUCUCUUGACUGAUGCUGGAAGUUACGGAGCUGCUGAAGCUUAGGUAGAUAAUACCGUAGUUAAAGAAACCACGAACUCUAAUAAACACCAAUCAAGUCACGUAUUUUCUAUGGCACAACUAGAAGGUGCUAUAAUAAAGAUAAUGCAAGAAUAGUGAAUACAAUGAAGAAAAUCUUGUCAUUCCUACUUGAGAGUGAGCAGGUGAAA